rnacentral:rRNA from 1 species
GACGAACGCUGGCGGCGUGCCUAAUACAUGCAAGUAGAACGCUGAAGCUUGGUGCUUGCACCGAGCGGAUGAGUUGCGAACGGGUGAGUAACGCGUAGGUAACCUGCCUGGUAGCGGGGGAUAACUAUUGGAAACGAUAGCUAAUACCGCAUAAGAGUAGAUGUUGCAUGACAUUUGCUUAAAAGGUGCAAUUGCAUCACUACCAGAUGGACCCGCGUUGUAUUAGCUAGUUGGUGAGGUAACGGCUCACCAAGGCAACGAUACAUAGCCGACCUGAGAGGGUGAUCGGCCACACUGGGACUGAGACACGGCCCAGACUCCUACGGGAGGCAGCAGUAGGGAAUCUUCGGCAAUGGACGGAAGUCUGACCGAGCAACGCCGCGUGAGUGAAGAAGGUUUUCGGAUCGUAAAGCUCUGUUGUAAGAGAAGAACGAGUGUGAGAGUGGAAAGUUCACACUGUGACGGUAUCUUACCAGAAAGGGACGGCUAACUACGU